rnacentral:rRNA from 1 species
UACAGAGGUCUCAAGCGUUGUUCGGAUUCAUUGGGCGUAAAGGGUGCGUAGGUGGCGGGGUUAGUCGGGUGUGAAAUCUCGGGGCUCAACCCCGAAACUGCACUUGAUACUGCCUUGCUAGAGUACUGGAGAGGAGAUUGGAAUUUACGGUGUAGCAGUGAAAUGCGUAGAUAUCGUAAGGAAGACCAGUGGCGAAGGCGAAUCUCUGGACAGUUACUGACUCUGAAACACGAAAGCCAGGGUAGCAAACGGG